rnacentral:rRNA from 1 species
CACGUAGGGUGCGAGCGUUGUCCGGAAUUAUUGGGCGUAAAGAGCUCGUAGGCGGUGUGUCGCGUCGGCCGUGAAAACCUGCAGCUUAACUGUGGGCUUGCGGUCGAUACGGGCAUCACUGGAGUUCGGCAGGGGAGACUGGAAUUCCUGGUGUAGCGGUGAAAUGCGCAGAUAUCAGGGAGGGAACACCGGUGGGCCGAAGGCGGGUCUCUGGGCCGGAUACUGACGCUGGAGGAGCGGAAAGCGUGGGGAGCGAACGGG